AUGCUAUGAGUGUACGUUAUAGAUGGAUAAUUGGUAGUGCAGUGUUUCUUAAUAUUACGAUGCAUGUACAGCAUAUUGAUAUAAAUGAGAAAAAGGAGAGAAGAAAAAUUAUUGAAACGUAAUUUGAUAACGACGUAUGACAUGCAGAGACAGAUGCACACGGACUUGAAAAAUUGACAAAAUUUGAAUUUCAACAUUUACAAUAACUAUACGAAUGAAAACGUGCAUAACUAACUGCUAAGAUUCAAUAUCCGCAAGAUGAUUUAGUAAACAUCGCCGAUAACCCGUUGCUCUUCUUCAGACGAAUGUGCGCAAUUACAUAAUUUAAUUUACUCCGAAUUCACCAGCGUUCUCGAAAGAGAAACAAACAUUGGGUAUAUCGCAAAGUCGGCCUAAUACACAGCGUAUAUCCGGGAAUCCCUACUUUAGACAAAAAUCAUCUAAACAAAAACUCAUCUUGUUUACAGCUACUGCCGGGCGACGAGCAAUUGGGGGAAAAUAUUAUCGUUCUGGCGUUAAUCGGUUUUUCCCUGAUCGCUUUCCUCUCGUUUUCGUCACGCAGCUCGGCUAUCAUGGCUUUUGUGGAAUGCGCCGUUUCGUCGUUGUACGCGUCUUGGAAUAUCAAGGUUGCGGCGGUGAGAAUCGAAACUCCAGCGAAGACGAUUAACAUUAUUAACUCUAAGGCGACCU